AAUUCAAUAAAAUUGAAAAGUGAGUUUAAGCAUUGGUACGUUUACAGCGCAUGCAAUGAAGCGACCGGUUGUAAUUUUUAAACCGAUCAUACUCCUGGUAAUGCUUCUUUUUAGCAUCAUGCCGAUCCUUUGUGCUCCUGCAGUGCUUGCAGAAGUGGAGAGGGAAAUGUCAGAACUCGACGACGGACACCCAGAAGUUCGUGACAAGCGAUUCUUAAUGUUUGGAUUGAGCGUCUUGGUGUCCUCAUUUUUUUCAUAGAGAAAAAGGAACAAGCAUAUUUCAUUUGUAUGCUGCUCAAGAUAUCUAUCGAUUUUUUGACCAAAAAUGGUUUUCAUGCACUUCAUCAAAAUUUUUAGUAUGUCAAAAAAUUUGAAUUAAAUCAAAGCAAUAAAGAAACUCUUAUGAGAAAAUAUU